AAUCCAUAGGUUAAUGAGGCGAACCGGGGGAACUGAAACAUCUAAGUACCCCGAGGAAAAGAAAUCAACCGAGAUUCCCCCAGUAGCGGCGAGCGAACGGGGAGGAGCCCAGAGCCUGAAUCAGCAUGUGUGUUAGUGGAAGCGUCUGGAAAGGCGCGCGAUACAGGGUGACAGCCCCGUACACAAAAGCGCAUGUGCUGUGAGCUCGAUGAGUAGGGCGGGACACGUGGUAUCCUGUCUGAAUAUGGGGGGACCAUCCUCCAAGGCUAAAUACUCCUGACUGACCGAUAGUGAACCAGUACCGUGAGGGAAAGGCGAAAAGAACCCCGGCGAGGGGAGUGAAAAAGAACCUGAAACCGUGUACGUACAAGCAGUGGGAGCACAGGUUUACCUGUGUGACUGCGUACCUUUUGUAUAAUGGGUCAGCGACUUAUAUUCUGUAGCAAGGUUAACCGUAUAGGGGAGCCGGAGGGAAACC
rnacentral:rRNA from 2 species